rnacentral:rRNA from 1 species
GACAGAGGUGCCGAGCGUUAGGCGGAAUCACUGGGCUUAAAGCGUGUGUAGGCGGGUCCGUAAGUACCUUGUGAAAUCCCACGGCUCAACCGUGGAACUGCUCGGUAUACUGCGGGCCUUGAGCCAGCUAGGGGCAACCGGAACAAACGGUGGAGCGGUGAAAUGCGUAGAUAUCUGGAGGAACACCGGUGGCGAAGGCGGCGUUCUGGACUGCUACUGACACUGAGGGACGAAAGCCAGGGGAGCAAACGGG